GGAUAACCUACCCUUAGGACUGGGAUAACCCUGGGAAACUGGGGAUAAUACUAGAUAGGCAAUUUUUCCUGGAAUGGUUUUUUGUUUAAAUGUUUUUUCGCCUAAGGAUGGGUCUGCGGCCGAUUAGGUAGUUGGUUAGGUAACGGCUUACCAAGCCAUUGAUCGGUACGGGUUGUGAGAGCAAGAGCCCGGAGAUGGAACCUGAGACAAGGUUCCAGGCCCUACGGGGUGCAGCAGGCGCGAAACCUCCGCAAUGUGAGAAAUCGCGACGGGGGGAUCCCAAGUGCCAUUCUUAACGGGAUGGCUUUUCAUUAGUGUAAAGAGCUUUUGGAAUAAGGGCUGGGCAAGACCGGUGCCAGCCGCCGCGGUAACACCGGCAGCUCUAGUGGUAGCAGUUUUUAUUGGGCCUAAAGCGUCCGUAGCCGGUUUAAUAAGUCUCUGGUGAAAUCCUGUAGCUUAACUGUGGGAAUUGCUGGAGAUACUAUUAGACUUGAGACCGGGAGAGGUUAGAGGUACUCCCAGGGUAGAGGUGAAAUUCUGUAAUCCUGGGAGGACCGCCUGUUGCGAAGGCGUCUAACUGGAACGGUUCUGACGGUGAGGGACGAAAGUUAGGGGCGCGAACCGGAUUAGAUACCCGGGUAGUCCUAACUGUAAACGAUGCGGACUUGGUGUUGGGGUGGCUUUGAGCUGCUC
rnacentral:rRNA from 1 species